CUCGUCUCUGGACCCUCUCCAGUGCCAUGAUAUCCUUCUUUAGAACAGGCGCCCAAAAUUGCACAGCAUAUUCAAGGUGUGGUCUUACCAGCGAUUUAUAAAGAGGCAAAAUUAUAUUUUCAGCCCGAGAAUUUAUGCCCCUAUUUAUACAUGACAAAAUCUUACUGGCCUUAGCAACUGCAGAUUGACAUUGCAUAUUGCUGCCUAAUUUGUUGUCUAUAACAAUUCCCAAAUCCUUCUCGUGUGUGGUUAUGCCUAAUUCACUACCAUUUAGUGUGUAAGUUGCUUGUGCAUUCUUAACCCCCGAAGUGCAUAACUUUGCAUUUCUCUGUUAAAUUUCAUCUGCUAUUUUAGUGCCCAGUCCCCCAAUCUAUCCAAAUCUCUCUGCAGCAAAGCAAUAUCCUGCUCCCAUUUUAUUACUUUACAAAGUUUUGUGUCAUCUGCAAACACUGAUCCAUGGCUUUCAAUGCCUAUUUCAAGAUCAUUUUUAAAUAUGUUAAAUAGAAGUGGUCCCAAAACAGAACCCUGAGGGACACCACUUACCACUUUUGUCCAGCCUGAAAAUUUACCAUUAAUUACAACUUGUUGUACUCUAUCCUUAAGCCAAUGUUCUACCCAAGAACAAGAAUAUUCAUCUAGACCAAUUUAUUUUAGUUUGAAGACUAACCUAUUGUGAGGAACCGUAUCAAAUGCCUUGGCAAAAUCCAAGUAGAUCACAUCCACUGCAACACCCUGAUCUAUA